UAGGAAUAAAAGCCCCCGUGUCGGUCUACUUUGCUUCGACCAAACCGAAACCGUCUCCGCUUCGCGCCGUUCGUCGUCAUCUAUGCCGCCAUUCUGGUUCGCCGCCGGCGAUCCAGUUUCCAUGCCGUUUGCCACAGUCCUUGAGCUUGAUCGCUGCGCAUUCUUUACCCUCUCACUCUGCCCCCAUCAUCGACGUGCCGCCGCAAAAGCCCUCGUCUUCGCUCGUUUCCCCUCGGCGCGCCACCUUCACCCUUCCCUACUCCGCUCCCGCCGCUUUUACUCCGCAUUCGUCUCUUCCGCCGGUGGUAACCAAUUGGAUUCCAACAAGCACAAACCUGUGACAAUUGAGGCGGCGGAGGCAUUGAUCAUCGAGCCGGAGCAGCAGAAGGAUGGAGGCCAACUACGUAAGCGAGUGUUUUCCGGGCUCGCUAUUGGGAUUGGAGGUGGCGGCGUUGUGGUGGCUGGAGGGUGGGUUUUCACUGCUGUUGUGGCUGUUGCUGUAUUUGCUGCUGCUCGUGAGUACUUCGAGCUGGUGAGAAGCCAGGGGAUCGCUGCCGGGAUGACGCCGCCUCCCAGAUAUGUGUCAAGAACUUGCUCGGUUAUCUGUGCUUUGAUGCCUGUGCUCACAGCGUAUUUUGGUCACAUAGAUGUAUCUGUGACAUCUUCUGCAUUCUUAGUUGCAAUGGCGUUGAUUUGUCAGAGAGCAAUUCCUCGAUUUUCUCAACUAAGUAGUACCAUGUUUGGAUUGUUCUAUUGUGCAUAUCUUCCUUGUUUCUGGGUUAAGCUUCGUUGUGGUCUGGCGGCCCCUGCAUUGCAUACAGAAUUAGGGAAAUAUUGGCCAAUUCUUCUUGGUGGUCGUGCUCAUUGGACGGUUGGGCUUGUAGCAACCAUUAUUUCUGUUAGCAGCAUUAUUGCAGCGGAUACAUUUGCUUUUAUCGGUGGAAGGGCAUUUGGCCGGACUCCGUUGACUAGUAUAAGUCCAAAGAAGACUUUGGAGGGUGCCUUUGCUGGUUUAAUAGGUUGUAUAGCUGUUGCAAUUACUCUGUCAAGGAUUUUAUCGUGGCCUUCAUCUUUAUUAAGUGCUUCAGCUUUUGGAAUUCUGAAUUUCAUUAGUUCUCUCUUUGGGGAUCUUACUGAAUCAAUGAUUAAGCGUGAUGCUGGUGUUAAGGACUCUGGAUCUCUGAUACCUGGGCAUGGUGGUGUGCUUGAUAGGCUAGAUAGUUAUUUAUUCACAGGUGCUCUGUGCUAUUCAUUUGUGAAGUUUGCUCUUCCACUCUUCGGUGUUUGAUUUUAUCAAAAUCUUUGCUUCUUCCCUGCAAAUAAAGCACAAAUCUUAUGACACUGCUGAAGAAACAAGCCUGGACUUCAGUUGUUCAUCAAGUGCAUUGGUUCAUGUACAGCCCUAACCAUCACCCAUUUUGGCUUCAACGAAGGGAAAGAACUGUAUAUAGACCUGUUUGCCAAGGUAACACUGCUAUCUUCUUAACAAUUUCUUUUUGGAAUGAUCAUAAAAUGCCUCUUUGUUUAAGAAGCCUUAAUGUUCAUGCUCUUAACGAGUUUUUUAGAG